rnacentral:rRNA from 1 species
UACGGAGGAUCCGAGCGUUAUCCGGAUUUAUUGGGUUUAAAGGGAGCGUAGGUGGAUUGUUAAGUCAGUUGUGAAAGUUUGCGGCUCAACCGUAAAAUUGCAGUUGAAACUGUAGUUCUUGAGUGAUGGAGAGGCAGGCGGAAUUCCGUGUGUAGCGGUGAAAUGCGUAGAUAUACGGAGGAACACCAGUGGCGAAGGCGGCCUGCUGGACAUUAACUGACGCUGAGGCGCGAAAGCGUGGGGAGCAAACAGG